CACAAUGGCAACAUCAGAGGCACGGUUCCCCUCUGCUUAACUUUUCAAACAUUUGUCUUUUAACUUUGAGAACGAAAUAGUUAAGGUUUGUAGAGCUCAGCAUAUAUAAUGACAUUGUUCAUGAUAUAUUUAAUAUUUGUCACUACAAUAUAAUCAGGGGAGCUAGGGAAAUUUCUUGGGACACCGGAUAGAGUUUACUUCGUGUUGACAAUAUAUAGUCACAAUGCCAUUAAUUAUAAUAUACUCCUCUCGCGCAUUACUGUAUGCAUAGUAACUUUGUUGCUAGAAAGAAGCUUAUUACAGUACAAGGUUGAUAAUUUCUAUUUGAUCAAACGAGAACGCAAGUCAUCGCAAGUAAAUUCAGUCUGACACUUGGUUGCCAUGACUUGUGAUGCGACUGAUCAAACGAUGCGCAAGUUAUCGCAACGAUUUGCAAGGCGAUCUGGCCCGUGUGCGGGUAAUUCUGUAAUUUUGUAAAUGCAAACAAAACAUGGCCGUCAUUUAAAUCCAUUUAAAUAUGUAAAAAGCUAUUGAAAAUGCCAUCGGAA